rnacentral:rRNA from 1 species
GACGAACGCUGGCGGCGUGCCUAAUACAUGCCAGUAGAACGCUGAAGGAGGAGCUUGCUUCUCUGGAUGAGUUGCGAACGGGUGAGUAACGCGUAGGUAACCUGCCUGGUAGCGGGGGAUAACUAUUGGAAACGAUAGCUAAUACCGCAUAAUAGUAGAUGUUGCAUGACAUUUGCUUAAAAGGUGCAGUUGCAUCACUACCAGAUGGACCUGCGUUGUAUUAGCUAGUUGGUGGGGUAACGGCUCACCAAGGCGACGAUACAUAGCCGACCUGAGAGGGUGAUCGGCCACACUGGGACUGAGACACGGCCCAGACUCCUACGGGAGGCAGCAGUAGGGAAUCUUCGGCAAUGGACGGAAGUCUGACCGAGCAACGCCGCGUGAGUGAAGAAGGUUUUCGGAUCGUAAAGCUCUGUUGUAAGAGAAGAACGAGUGUGAGAGUGGAAAGUUCACACUGUGACGGUAUCUUACCAGAAAGGGACGGCUAACUACGUG